AUUGAACGCUGGCGGCAGGCCUAACACAUGCAAGUCGAGCGAGCGGCGGACGGGUGAGUAAUGUCUGGGAAACUGCCUGCUGGAGGGGGAUAACUACUGGAAACGGUAGCUAAUACCGCAUACCAUCAGAUGUUCCCAGAUGGGAUUGGCUAGUUGGUGGGGUAACGUCUCACCUAGGCGACGAUCCCUAGCUGGUCUGAGAGGAUGACCAGCCACACUGGAACGAGAACAGGGUCCAGACACCUAGGGAGGGUAGCAGUGGGGAAUAUUGGACAAGGGGGGCAGGCCUGAUGCAGCCAGGCCGCUGGUGGGAGGAGGGCCUUCGGGUGGUAAAGCACGUUGAGCGGGGAGGCGUUACCCGCAGAAGAAGCACCGGCUAACUCCGUGCCAGCAGCCGCGGUAAUAC
rnacentral:rRNA from 1 species